rnacentral:lncRNA from 1 species
AAAUAGGACUUUUGCAUUUUAUGCGAUUUAGUCAUUUUUCGCAAUUAAGCUCACAAACCCUAAAAUUAAACCACCAAAAUUUUCAUGAACCUUUAUAAACAUGCUAUCACACAUAAAAUAAUAUUAAAAAUAAUUUUUUGACCUCGGGUUAGUGGUCCCGAAACCACUGUUUCGACUAGGCCCAAAAUCGAGCUGUUACAAACCACUUGUAUCUUGAUUUUUGUUUCCAGAGCAUCUCCUCAUGGUGAAAAAUAUUCUCAAGCUCAUCUCGGACCAAUAGUUCAUGAUGAAAUAGAGAAUUAGACCCAGACAAAUCCAUGGCUUGUUGUAACUUGGAAAGCUUGUGCAGUAACUGCCUCUUUCAUUGGUUUAUGUAGCCGUAAACACAUUUGUUCCAACUUUUGAGCUUAUUAGUAAACCCAACAAUCACACUAGUCAUGUCACCAUCGAAUUUCCAAUUAUCCCUAACAAAAUUAGAAAAAUUCGGAUGGUGCCACCAUCUAACUAAAAACUGGAAGGGAUGCUCGGAUGGGGAAUUAAUAACAGAACAAAUAUUCAAAAACAACAGUCUAUGAUCUAAUUUAAUUCUUGGGAGAUGAGUAACCAAACAAUUUGGGAAAUACUCUAUCCAAGCUUCAUUUCCCACUACCCUAUCCAAUUUUUCAAAAAGAUUACCUCGAUG